ACCAGACUCCUACGGGAGGCAGCAGUGGGGGAUAUUGCACAAUGGGGGAAACCCUGAUGCAGCGACGCCGCGUGGGUGAAGAAGUGCCUCGGCGCGUAAAGCCCUGUCAGCAGGGAAGAAAAUGACGGUACCUGAAGAAGAAGCCCCGGCUAACUACGUGCCAGCAGCCGCGGUAAUACGUAGGGGGCAAGCGUCAUCCGGAUUUACUGGGUGUAAAGGGGGCGCAGACGGCGAUGCAAGCCAGGAGUGAAAGCCCGCGGCCCAACCGCGGGACUGCAUUGGGAACUGGCGCGCUGGAGUGCCGGAGGGGUAGGCGGAAUUCCUAGUGUAGCGGUGAAAUGCGUAGAUAUUAGGAGGAACACCAGUGGCGAAGGCGGCCUACUGGACGGUGACUGACGCUGAGGCUCGAAAGCGUGGGGAGCAAACAGGAUUAGAUACCCUCGUAA
rnacentral:rRNA from 1 species